AUCGACAUUUUGAACGCAUAUUGCGGUUUAUACUGACACGUUUCUCAACCGAAACUGUAUAGACCACACAUGGUUGAGGGUUGUAUUAUUAUGCCAAUCGAAUUUGUUUUGAGAAGUAUCUACAACUCAAACAAUAUUGAAGUGUUGUUAUGCUUAAGUGUUCAUAACAUCCUUUGAAACCAUUUCGAUGAAAAUAAACAUCAAAUGCUCAUUUGUUCAUCACAGCUAAAUUGAUGGCGGUGYUUAAAGUAUAGCAACAUAUGUAAAAGUAUGACAUAAAAUCUAAUUUGAUAUUUGCGACAUGCUUUACACCGUUACUAAACAAUAAUCGUGUUGUKCAAAUAGAAAAUAAUAAUCAACCAAUAUAACCUCAGCUCAUGUGAGACUACUCCCUGAAUUUAA
rnacentral:rRNA from 1 species